rnacentral:lncRNA from 1 species
AAAAACAGAACUGCGGCGGCCAUUGUGGUGUGGAAAUCAAAUGCUCCUAGUGACCUCCAAGUGACUGCUGGAACGGCUCUGAGUGACCUGGAAAGACGGUAAGAGAGAAAGCUUAGCAUCAUCGCUAAAGAAGAGGCGGGGGAGUGUCUGGAAUUUUAAGCAAACCUUGGAUGGAAACGCAGCGAAUGUUAUGCUGAGGUCAGAGGCGGCUGAUGUGACACACGCUGCAACAAACCGCCACUCGAGUUCGCUCUCCUCCUCGGCUACUUUCCAUUUGUUUCUGCUAUUUUUUGUUUUUUUCCUCUCCGAACGCUUUGAUUCGCUCCACUCUUUCCCACAGUGGAAGUCCCUUGGAUAGCAACCGAUAGGCCGCGCUGCCAAUACGCCACAUGCCAGUGCCCUCGGAAAUCUUUCAGGGCGCCAGAUACCGGAGGAAUGCCGCGCACGGCCAGCGCCUGUGUGAGAUAAAACGCCCAGACCCUGGUUCUGCACACGAAAAGGCUCACGAGGUUCACGAGAGGGCGAGUCUGGUUCAGAGUCAAUCCUGGGACGACGAAGCGACAAAUGUGCACAUCACUGACGGAGGUCAGUUACUCAUGAGGUAAAGAGACUCAGAAAACUCGCGAACACAAGAAAAACAGUAAUACUUAGAUUGUAAAUCUUCUUAUCCUGUAUCUUUAUGGACA